AUGUCCCCAAAACGUCCCCAAAUGUCCCCAAAAUGUCCCCGAAUGUCCCCAAAACGUCCCCGAGUGCCACCUCCCAGUGACACCGGAGCGUCCCCCAAGCGCCACCCAAGUGCCACCCAAAGCGUCCCCAGAUGUCCCCAAGUGCCACCGGCGGCUCUUGAGGCCACCAAGGUGCCACCACCCCCCUCAAAGUCCCUGCAGUGUCCCCAAGGUGCCACCACCGUGUCCCCAAGGUGUCCCCAAGGUGCCACCACCCCCAGUGUCACCGUGUCAAUCAAUGUCCCCAAGGUGCCACCACCCCCUGAAUGUCCCCGAGGUGCCACCACCCCCGGGGUCACCGUGUCAACCAAUGUCCCCAAAGUGUCCCCCAAGUGCCACCACCCCAAUGUCACCCUGUCCCCAAAGUGCCACCCCUGAAUGUCCCCAGGUGUCCCCAAGGUGCCACCACGGCAGUGCCACCAAUGUCAAUAAAUGUCCCCGGAGUGC
rnacentral:lncRNA from 1 species